rnacentral:rRNA from 1 species
UGUAAGCGUAUACCAAAGUUGUUGCAGUUAAAACGCUCGUAGUCGGAAUUUGGCAGUUCCGGAUGUGUGCACGUCAUGUGCGCACUUCGCGGGGAUUGCUUUUGUGGUCUUGCGUAGGAUGAGGCACUUUUAUUAGUGAACGUCCUCACGCAACCACUUUUUACUGUGAGAAAAUCAGAGUGCUCAAAGCAGGCAUUUGCCGUGAAUGUAUUAGCAUGGAAUAAUAGAAUAGGACUUGGUUCUAUUUUGUUGGUUUGUUGGGACUGAGUAAUGAUUAAGAGGGACAGUUGGGGGCAUUUGUAUUUCGGUGCUAGAGGUGAAAUUCUUAGAUUACCGAAAGACAAACUGCUGCGAAAGCGUCUGCCAAGGAUGUUUUCAUUGA